UGCGUAGGCGGCCCGGAAAGUUGGGUGUGAAAUUCCUCGGCUCAACCGAGGAAUUGCGCCCAAAACUGCCGGGCUCGAGGAAGACAGAGGUGAGCGGAACUUGCGGUGGAGCGGUGAAAUGCGUUGAUAUCGCAAGGAACACCAGUGGCGAAAGCGGCUCACUGGGUCUUUUCUGACGCUGAGGCACGAAAGCUAGGGGAGCGAACG
rnacentral:rRNA from 1 species